CCCGGUUGGCCCAUUUCCUUUGCCAUUUGGGCCCGAGAUGUCACAUGUGUCAAAGGAAACGAGUCGGCCAGGACACAUGUCACCUCACAUGCGGGCCACGAGUCAGAACCCUGUCAAAUGGCUAACUCUACUAGAUUUGUGUUUCCCACCCGAAGAGUGGUGAUUCUUUGAGACAAUUAAUGAUAAUUGUGGUACUGUGAAAACCUAGGCAGAAAAAAAAGUGGUUUUCUGAAAUUUACUCACGAUUUUUGUAUGUAUUUCACCAUGUGUCAACCCAGGCUUUUUUUUUUUUUUUUGCAAACAGUGAUGCCACUAGCGCGUUGAAUAUACCUUGCACUUAAUUGAAAUUUGGGGCAGGUCAAAUUUGAACCCAAGCUUGUGAGUUUGGUUGCACACACCGUGGAGUGGAAUAGAUGGCCACGAUGUUCUGUACAGUGGCAGGAGUAGAGUAGCUGACGUGGUGGUAGCUAGUAGCGCGAUCGGUUGACUCUGAAGAAUAUAUUCAACACGGGUUUGGUGGAUGUCUCUGUUGUUAUAUAUGCACAUGGAGCUCAUCUCGCGAGGUUGAGAUAUGCGCCCCCAGCAGACCUAAAUUUCAAGAUUCUUGAGCACACGGUGAACAUAAUUUGACCUUCACAAAGUGCUUUGCUGCAUGUGGACAUAAUUUUGUUUUCGCACAUCAACUCCCCAACUAAUGCAGAUUUAUUUGCACUAGAUAGGGGUGUUCACCUUUAUUUCGAACUCCCCUACAAAUUUAUUUGCACAAAAAUAAAGGAAAAUUGUCGAAAUAUUGCUCACCGAAUGGAUUGGCGCCAGGAUAGGGGCAGAGCCAAGGACCUUUAUUUCGUUUGAUGUUAUCAUCUCCAGCUUCAUAAUGCAAUCUGAUCGUCCUAUAUGGGAUCACACCUCUUUGAUUGAGAUUAGGAACUAAAUUUGCACGUUGACAAAAAUUUGGGGUCUAACAUAUCUGGCGGUGUUGGAGCGAUUUAACCGAAUCUAACUCAGGUGGUUAAAUUUCCAAUGGUGGAACCAAUGACUUCGUCAACCCCAAGAUCUGUCGACUUAGUUUAUCGAAGAUGCUCAGGAAUGUUAGAAUAAGUGUGCAUGGGUAUUUGUGAGAUUCAUAAAAAAAAAAUCUGGUGUUGGAGUCUAGGGACUAAUAGUUGGGGACCAAAAUUGACUUUUUCUUAGAUUGCCGGAAUCGAUGAACUGUUAGCUGAUGGCUCCUAAGAAAAUAAUAAUUCGAGGGAUCUUGUUAGGAUGAAGACAAGUGGAAUGUAUGUUGCAAGCUUCGACAGAAUCGUGCUUUAUUUAAUUCGAUGAACAGCAAAGCG
rnacentral:lncRNA from 1 species